UACGUAGGGUGCGAGCGUUGCCCGGAUUUAUUGGGCGUAAAGGGCGCGUAGGCGGUGAGAUGCGUCCGUUGUGAAAUCGCCCGGCUCAACUGGGCGGGGUCAGCGGAUACGGUCUCACUUGAGCAAGCUAGGGGGCAAUGGAAUUCCCGGUGUAGUGGUGGAAUGCGUAGAUAUCGGGAGGAACACCAGUGGCGAAGGCGGUUGCCCUGGGGCUUUGCUGACGCUGAGGCGCGGAAAGCGUGGGGAGCGAGUCCGG
rnacentral:rRNA from 1 species